rnacentral:rRNA from 1 species
GACGGAGGGUGCUAGCGUUGUUCGGAAUUACUGGGCGUAAAGGGCGCGUAGGCGGCUGCUCAAGUCGGGUGUGAAAGCCCGGGGCCCAACCCCGGAACGGCACCCGAGACUGGGCGGCUCGAGACCGGGAGAGGUGGGUGGAAUACCCAGUGUAGAGGUGAAAUUCGUAGAUAUUGGGUGGAACACCGGUGGCGAAAGCGGCUCACUGGCCCGGUUCUGACGCUGAGGCGCGAAAGCGUGGGGAGCAAACAGG